AAUCAACGCUGGCGGCGUGCCUCAGACAUGCAAGUUGAACGAUUAAAGCUCUCUUCGGAGAGUGCAUAAAGUGGCGCACGGGUGAGUAACACGUAAGUAAUCUACCCUCGAGUGGGGAAUAACGUCCGGAAACGGACGCUAAUACCGCAUAACGCAGCGGCACCGCAAGGUGACAGUUGUUAAAGGAGAAAUCCGCUUGAGGAGGAGCUUGCGGCAGAUUAGCUUGNGGUAAGGUAACGGCUUACCAAGGCUACGAUCUGUAACCGGUCUAAGAGGACGGUCGGUCACACUGACACUGAAUAACGGGUCAGACUCCUACGGGAGGCAGCAGUCGGGAAUUUUGGGCAAUGGGGGAAACCCUGACCCAGCAACGCCGCGUGAAGGAUGAAGUAUUUCGGUAUGUAAACUUCGAAAGAAUAGGAAGAAUAAAUGACGGUACUAUUUAUAAGGUCCGGCUAACUACGUGCCAGCAGCCGCGGU
rnacentral:rRNA from 1 species